rnacentral:rRNA from 1 species
UGCCGGACCCGACUGCUAUCGGAUUGAGAUUUAGCCAUGCGAGUCGAACGUCCUCCUGUUGCGGGGGGCGUGGCGUACGGCUCAGUAACACGUAGUCAACCUGCCCUGGAGACAUGGACAACCCCGGGAAACUGGGAUUAAUCCGUGAUAGGUCACCUCAUCUGGAAGGAGAGAUGGCUCAAAGGGGUCCAUGAGCUUCUUUCGUGGAUUCGCUCCAGGAUGGGACUGCGUCCGAUCAGGCUGUUGGCGGGGUAAUGGCCCACCAAACCUGUAACCGGUACGGGCCUUGAGAGAGGGGGCCCGGAGAUGGACACUGAGAGAAGGGUCCAGGUCCUACGGGGCGCAGCAGGCGCGAAACCUUCGCAAUGCGCGAAAGCGUGACGGGGUUAAUCCGAGUGAUUUCCGCUGAGGAGACCUUUUGUCGGCUGUAAAUAGGCCGGCGAAUAAGGGGAGGGCAAGCCUGGUGU